rnacentral:siRNA from 1 species
AAAGUUAAUGUCGUGAAGGCGA